rnacentral:lncRNA from 1 species
UCGCAUCUAUGUUUCAAGACAUGUUGUAUUUAAUGAAUUGGAUUUUCCUUUCAAAAAGUUUCAGUCUACAUCUUCCCCUUUUGUUAUUUUUUAUCCUAUAUUUAAUAUUUUUUUUUUCUGUUUCUUCUUUUCCCUCUACCACCAGUCCACAAUCCUCAUCUACAUCCUUCCAAUUUGGACCAUUUUCUCCUAUUGCUCCAUUAUUUCUUCUUCG